GAUGAACGCUAGCGGCAGGCCUAAUACAUGCAAGUCGAGCGGCAAGUUGAGAAGCAAUUCGAGACCUAGAGCGGCGUACGGGUGCGUAACGCGUAUGCAACCUACCUCAUACAGGGGGAUAGCCCGGAGAAAUCUGGAUUAAUACCCCAUAGUACAGAUAGAGGGAAUCCGAAAUAUGUUAAAGAUUCAUCGGUAUGAUAUGGGUAUGCGUCUGAUUAGCUAGUUGGCGGUGGAACGGACCACCAAGGCGACGAUCAGGAGGGGUUCUGAGAGGAAGGUCCCCCACACUGGCACUGAGAUACGGGCCAGACUCCUACGGGAGGCAGCAGUAGGGAAUAUUUGGCAAUGGUCGGAAGACUGACCCAGCCAUGCCGCGUGCAGGAAGAAGGCCCUCUGGGUUGUAAACUGCUUUUAUCUGGGAAGAAAAGGCCCGUGCGCGGGACAUUGCCGGUACCAGAUGAAUAAGCACCGGCUAACUCCGUGCCAGCCGCCGCUGUAACAC
rnacentral:rRNA from 1 species